GGCCGAUUAGCUCAGUGCAUUGAGCCUGGUGCUGAUAACACCGAGAUCCUGGGUUCAAUUCCCGUUCGGUCC
rnacentral:tRNA from 1 species